CCCUUAGUAACUGCGAGUGAAGAGGGAAAAGCUCAAAUUUAAAAUCUGGCAGUGUUUCACUGUCCGAGUUGUAACCUAGAGAAGUGUAACCUGCGCUGGACCGUGUAUAAGUCUCCUGGAAUGGAGCGUCACAGAGGGUGAGAAUCCCGUCUUUGACACGGACUACCAGUGCAUUGUGGUUGUGCUCUCAACGAGUCGAGUUGUUUGGGAAUGCAGCUCUAAAUGGGUGGUAAAUUCCAUCUAAAGCUAAAUAUUGGCGAGAGACCGAUAGCGAACAAGUACCGUGAGGGAAAGAUGAAAAGAACUUUGGAAAGAGAGUUAAACAGUAUGUGAAAUUGUUGAAAGGGAAACGUUUGAAGUCAGUCGCGUUGGUUGGGGAUCAGCCUGACAUUUGUUGGGUGUACUUCCUGNUUGACGGGCCAACAUCAGUUUUGACUGCCAGAAAAAGGCCAGAGGAAUGUGGCACCUUUGGGUGUGUUAUAGCCCUUGGUCGUAUAUGGUGGUUGGGACUGAGGAAAGCAGCGUGCCGAAAGGCCGGGUUUCGACCACGUUCACGCUGAGGAUGUUGGCAUAAUGGCUUUAAGCGACCCGUCUUGAAACACGGACCAAGGAGUCUAACAUGCAUGCGAGUGUUUGGGUGGAAAACCCUUACGCGUAAUGAAAGUGAAAGUUGAGAU
rnacentral:rRNA from 1 species